rnacentral:rRNA from 1 species
AUUGAACGCUGGCGGCAGGCCUAACACAUGCAAGUCGAGCGGAUGAAGGGAGCUUGCUCCUGGAUUCAGCGGCGGACGGGUGAGUAAUGCCUAGGAAUCUGCCUGGUAGUGGGGGAUGACGUCCGGAAACGGGCGCUAAUACCGCAUACGUCCUGAGGGAGAAAGUGGGGGAUCUUCGGACCUCACGCUAUCAGAUGAGCCUAGGUCGGAUUAGCUAGUUGGUGGGGUAAAGGCCUACCAAGGCGACGAUCCGUAACUGGUCUGAGAGGAUGAUCAGUCACACUGGAACUGAGACACGGUCCAGACUCCUACGGGAGGCAGCAGUGGGGAAUAUUGGACAAUGGGCGAAAGCCUGAUCCAGCCAUGCCGCGUGUGUGAAGAAGGUCUUCGGAUUGUAAAGCACUUUAAGUUGGGAGGAAGGGCAGUAAGUUAAUACCUUGCUGUCUUGACGUUACCAACAGAAUAAGCACCGGCUAACUUCGUG